UACGAAGGGGGCUAGCGUUGCUCGGAUUACUGGGCGUAAAGGGCGCGUAGGCGGACAGUUUAGUCAGAGGUGAAAGCCCAGGGCUCAACCUUGGAACUGCCUUUGAUACUGGCUGUCUUGAGUACGGGAGAGGUGAGUGGAACUCCGAGUGUAGAGGUGAAAAUUCGUAGAUAUUCGGAAGAACACCAGUGGCGAAGGCGACUCACUGGCCCCGUUACUGACGCUGAGGCGCGAAAGACGUGGGGGGAGCAAAACAGGAUUGAGAAAA
rnacentral:rRNA from 1 species